rnacentral:rRNA from 1 species
GAUGAACGCUGGCGGCGUGCCUAACACAUGCAAGUCGAACGAAGCACUUUGAAGUUUUCGGACAGAUGGGUGACUGAGUGGCGGACGGGUGAGUAACGCGUGGGUAACCUGCCUCGUACAGGGGGAUAACAGUUAGAAAUGACUGCUAAUACCGCAUAACCCGCUAAGGUCGCAUGACCUAGACGGAAAAGAUUUAUCGGUACGAGAUGGACCCGCGUCUGAUUAGCUAGUGGUGAGGUAACGGCCCACCAAGGCGACGAUCAGUAGCCGAACUGAGAGGUUGAUCGGCCACAUUGGGACUGAGACACGGCCCAGACUCCUACGGGAGGCAGCAUGGGGAAUAUUGCGCAAUGGGGGCAACCCUGACGCAGCAACGCCGCGUGAAGGAUGAAGGUCUUCGGAUUGUAACCUAGUAUCAGGGACGAUUAUGACGGUACCUGAAGNGAAAGCUACCGGCUAACUACGUG